rnacentral:snRNA from 1 species
UUGCUUUGGCAGCACAUACACUAAAAUUGGAAUGAUACAGAAGAUUUGUAUGACUCCUGCUCACGGGUGACACAAAACCUUGUAAAGCAUUCCAUAUUUUU